UUGGUGAUUUUGGGGAUUCUGAAGUUGAAGGGAACAUUCUUUCUUCUCGAGUUUGGCAGAAAAUAUUUCAGAACGUCAAAUGGAAGCAAGAGUGAUUCAUUCAGAGAUAGGUCCAAAAAAGUUAAAGGAAGCAAAGACCCUGCAGAGAUGGUGAAAUUCAGCAAGCCAUAAUGAAGUUCAUGGGAGAUCAUCCUCUCAGGGGCCAGUCGGAGCAGUUUGUGGUUUGCACCUUCCUGAAGUUAACGGGUGAAUAUGGACUGAUGAAGGAUGAGGCAUACUGUCAAGUCCUCAAACAGAUUACAGCCAAUGCCA